AUUGAACGCUGGCGGCAUGCCUAACACAUGCAAGUCGAACGGCAGCACGGCAGUAGCAAUACUGUGGGUGGCGAGUGGCGGACGGGUGAGGAAUACGUCGGAAUCUGCCCAGUCGUGGGGGAUAACUAGCCGAAAGGUUAGCUAAUACCGCAUACGACCGAGAGGUGAAAGCGGGGGACCGCAAGGCCUCGCGCGAUUGGAUGAGCCGACGUCGGAUUAGCUAGUUGGUGGGUAAAGGCCCACCAAGGCGACGAUCCGUAGCUGGUCUGAGAGGAUGAUCAGCCACACUGGAACUGAGACACGGUCCAGACUCCUACGGGAGGCAGCAGUGGGGAAUAUUGGACAAUGGGCGCAAGCCUGAUCCAGCAAUGCCGCGUGUGUGAAGAA
rnacentral:rRNA from 1 species